UACGAAGGGGGCUAGCGUUGCUCGGAAUCACUGGGGCGUAAAGCGCACGUAGGCGGCUUUUUAAGUCAGAGGUGAAAUCCUGGAGCUCAACUCCAGAACUGCCUUUGAUACUGGAGAGCUUGAGUCCGGGAGAGGUGAGUGGAACUGCGAGUGUAGAGGUGAAAUUCGUAGAUAUUCGCAAGAACACCAGUGGCGAAGGCGGCUCACUGGCCCGGUACUGACGCUGAGGUGCGAAAGCGUGGGGAGCAAACAGG
rnacentral:rRNA from 1 species